GACGAACGCUGGCGGCGUGCUUAACACAUGCAAGUCGAACGGAAAGGCCCUGCUUGCAGGGUACUCGAGUGGCGAACGGGUGAGUAACACGUGGGUGAUCUGCCCUGCACUUCGGGAUAAGCUUGGGAAACUGGGUCUAAUACCGGAUAGGACCGCACUUUAGUGUGUGUGGUGGAAAGUUUUUUCGGUGUAGGAUGAGCUCGCGGCCUAUCAGCUUGUUGGUGGGGUAAUGGCCUACCAAGGCGGCGACGGGUAGCCGGCCUGAGAGGGUGUACGGCCACAUUGGGGCUGGGAUUCGGCCCAGACUCCUACGGGGGGCAGCAGUGGGGAAUAUUGCACCAUGGGGGCCAGCCUGAUGCAGCGACGCCGCGUGGGGGAUGAAGGCCUUCGGGUUGUAAACUCCUUUCGCUAGGGACGAAGCUUUUUGUGACGGUACCUAGAUAAGAAGCACCGGCUAACUACGUG
rnacentral:rRNA from 1 species